rnacentral:rRNA from 1 species
ACGAACGCUGGCGGCGUGCUUAACACAUGCAAGUCGAACGGAAAGGCCUGCUUUCCCUUGUGGAUUGCGGGUGCUCGAGUGGCGAACGGGUGAGUAACACGUGAGUGAUCUGCCCCCAACUUGGGUAUAAGCCUGGGAAACUGGGUCUAAUUCCCGAUAGGACUGCAGGGUGGUGCCUGUGGUGGAAAACGAUUUUCUAGUGGUUGGGGAUGAGCUCGCGGCCUAUCAGCUUGUUGGUGGGGUAAUGGCCUACCAAGGCGGCGACGGGUAGCCGGCCUGAGAGGGUGGACGGCCACAUUGGGACUGAGAUACGGCCCAGACUCCUACGGGAGGCAGCAGUAGGGAAUAUUGCACAAUGGGCGGAAGCCUGAUGCAGCGACGCCGCGUGGGGGAUGACGGCCUUCGGGUUGUAAACUCCUUUCGACCGCGAGGAAGCCACCUGGUUGGAAGGGUGGUGACGGUAGUGGUAGAAGAAGCACCGGCUAACUACGUG